rnacentral:rRNA from 1 species
AUUCGCCCUUAGAGUUUGAUUAUGGCUCAGGAUGAACGCUGGCGGCAUGCCUAAUACAUGCAAGUCGAACGAGAGACCUUCGGGUCUCUAGUGGCGAACGGGUGAGUAACACGUAGGGAACCUGCCCGCGCACCGGGAAUACGCUCUGGAAACGGAGAACAAAUCCCGAUGUACAGGAAGGAGGCAUCUUCUUUCUGUGAAACAUCCUUUAGGGGAUGGGGCGCGGAUGGACCUGCGGUGCAUUAGUUGGUUGGCGGGGUAAAGGCCCACCAAGACGAUGAUGCAUAGCCGGCCUGAGAGGGCGGACGGCCACAUUGGGACUGAGACACGGCCCAGACUCCUGCGGGAGGCAGCAGUAGGGAAUUUUCGUCAAUGGGCGCAAGCCUGAACGAGCGAUGCCGCGUGAGUGAAGAAGGCCUUCGGGUCGUAAAGCUCUGUUGCGGGGGAAAAAAGGCAGCAUCAGGAAAUGGGUGCUGACUGAUGGUGCCCCGCCAGAAAGUCACGGCUAACUACGUGCCAGCAGCCGCGGUAAUACGUAGGUGGCGAGCGUUAUCCGGAAUGAUUGGGCGUAAAGGGUG